GACGAACGCUGGCGGCGUGCUUAACACAUGCAAGUCGAACGAAGUGGCGAACGGGUGAGUAACGCGUAAUAAACCGGCCCUUCAGAGGGGGACAACAGUUGGAAACGACUGCUAAUACCCAAUACUGAAGGAGGGGAUUGCGUCUGAUUAGCUAGUUGGAUGGGUAACGGCCCACCCAGGCGAUGAUCCGUAGCCGGUCUGGGAGGAUUGACGGGCACAUUGGGACUGGGACCCGGCCCCGACUCCUACGGGAGGCAGCAGUGGGGAAUCUUCCGCAAUGGACGAAAGGCUGACGGAGCAACUCCGCGUGGGUGAUGACGGCCUUCGGGUUGUAAAGCUCUGUUAAUCGGGGCGCGGUACCGGAAUAGAAAGCCCCGGCUAACUACGUGCCAGCAGCCGCGGUAAUUC
rnacentral:rRNA from 1 species